UUACCCUACGGGGCGCAGCAGUGGGUACUCUUGCACAAUUUUUGAAACCCUGAUGCAGCAACGCCGCGUGAGUGAAGAAGUCAUUCGUGAUGUAAAGCUCUAUCAGCAGGGAAGAAAAUGACGGUACCUGAGUAAGAAGCCCCGGCUAACUACGUGCCAGCAGCCGCGGUAAUACGUAGGGGGCAAGCGUUAUCCGGAUUUACUGGGCGUAAAGGGAGCGUAGACGGCCAGACAAGUCUGAAGUGAAAAUCCAGCGCUUAACGUUGGAAGUGCUUUGGAAACUGCCGGGCUAGAGUGCAGGAGGG
rnacentral:rRNA from 1 species